rnacentral:tRNA from 1 species
GCGGAUGUGGCGUAAUUGGUAGCCGCGAUAGACUUAGGAUCUAUUGUCGAAAGGCGUGGGGGUUCGAGUCCCUUCAUCCGCA